AUUUUGAUCUCUACUCCAUACCUCUUCCUACUGAUCUUUUUGUUUGUUUAUAUCUGCUCAUACAUAAACGCUAUUAAAUUUCCUCUUGACUUCCUUUUUACCUUCUAAUUCCAGCCAUUGACUGUGUUAUCAGAGGUUACUUUAUGCACUGAUAAAGGCAUUCUUUACAGCCAUCUGAAAUGCCUCCCUAAAACCAAGUUACAUUUUGACUUCAUACUUCUUGUACUUGAUCCUGCACUUAAUCGUGUGCUUAAAAGAUAGAAAACCAUCCUAAAGGGGAUAAAAAUUCCUGAUUUUCAGUCUACUUGCAUCCAUUUCUUGUACACAGGGUCUCUAUCUGGCAUGAUAUAUUACACUUCUCAGAAGGAAGCCAUUCUGUUUGAGGGCAGCUUUGAUAAUUUUCUACUGGUUUUUAUUCUGUGUUAAAACUGAACUAGGACCCUUCAAAUGUUCCUACAGAAGUGAAACUAUCGAAAAGGUAUUGACAGACCAGAAUGCCUUGAACCCUACUAAGCAUAUUAACUAUUUUCCCUCUAUGAUUCUAGCUGCUGACAUUAUGGAGCUAUUAUGUGACUCUGUGAAGUCACAGAAAAGAAGCAUGGUGAAUCACAAGGUAUUACUCAUUUUCAAAUGUGAUCUGGUAUGAGAACCAUCCUACCAAAACCCACCACUGCUGUUUAUAUAGAAAAUAUUGGUAACAUCCUUGCCACUACUCUUUGUCUAAGAAGGGAAGGGACCAGCUUUACCAGUUUUCCCAUGUGGUCUGUGAUGAAAGAAGAGUUCUUACUGAAACAAAUGUGACACCUGACUGCAGUGGUUGCCGUGAGAGAGAAAUUGUGUGGUCAGUAAGAUAACUCCUUGCCUCAUUCAACCACUUAUGUCACUGGAAAUGCCUGCUAAACUGCCAUUUCUUGAGGGGAAGUGAAUAGUUGAGAAGGAAAAUGGCCAAGCUCAACAGCACAAAUUAUAUAAUUGCAGAACAUGUUAAAGAGAGAUUAUUGAGUGAAAUGGGCUGGAUGAUUUACUUCAAAUCUGCUCAGUAAAGAUUUUACACUGAGAAACAUGGGACAGUGCCAAGGUUAAUCACUUGCAUUGCUUGUCCAUAGCAAACACUCCCUGCGUAGACAUCUAUCUGCUCUUUAGAACAAAGAAACUAUAGAGUGUAAUCACAGAGGAAGAAUGAAAGAUCAAACCCUCUGUAUCAUAUAUUCAAUACAAAAAUAUAUUAUUUUACAUUGCCACAUGUCACUAAUGAAACCACGAAGUUAACACAGCAUAAGCAGAACAGCACACCAUCUCCUACAUGGAGUUUGCAUUUUAAAUCACUCUAGGGCAUGUCUUUAUAUGUAAUAAAAUUUGUAGAACCUAACUAAGAGGUGUUUUAUAAGUCAAAAGUGUUUCUGCAUGAUUACACUGCUUAUUAAAGAUGCAAAAGAUUGAACUGCUCUUCCAGAUUGUUUGAUUUCUUUAAGACUAUUUGACAUAAUUCUUUAUGGCUGGUUUCAGGUUCGCCAGGGAAAAUACAAUCAGCACUUUCAAAAGUUUCUUGAAUAAUAAAAUUUGGUACAAUGCCAGAGACUCCAUCUGGUCAAGAAGGGAAAUUAUAUUAGCUGGAUUCUAGACAGUGUUAGGGAAACAGAAGACUGAUGCAGCCAAUUUCACAGAGGCAUAUAUGUUAAUUCCAUUGUUUAUAGCAAUUGUCAAAUUCAGUCCUGGUUUAUGAAGACUUAAGCAUUUUUAAAAUUUAUUAAGUGCCUGCAACAGUUAAGGCAUAUUUUGCAGGUUAUCUUGUUGUCAGAAAAAAUGGUCAUAUUAGUCACAUUUCUGCAUAAU
rnacentral:lncRNA from 1 species